AAACUUUAUUAAAAAAAAUUAUGUGAAUUGAAACAUCUUACUAACAUAAGUAAAAUAAAUCAAACGAGAUAUUGAUAGUAAUGGCGAAUGAACUCAAUAAAAAGGCUAUUUAUAACUUUUGUAAAUUUACUUGAAAAUAACAAAAAGAGGUACAGUCCUGUAAAAGAAAAUUUCAAAAAAAAUAAAUUAUGUAGUACUUAUAAAAAAUUAGUAUGAAUAAAGAAGAACCACCUCCUAAGCCUAAAUCUUUUUUCUAACCAAUAGCGAAUGAGUAUUGUGAAAAAAAGGUGUAAUUUUAUCUAUAAUAGAUAGUAAAAUAGAAUUUGAAUGCCUACAAUUUAUUUGAAGUUAAAUUUUUUAGAAAUUUGAUAACAAAGUACCUUUUGCAUUAUGGAUCAGUAAGUAAUUAAAAAUAGCAAGUUUUACUUUUUAAAGGAAGACAUAAUAAAAAUAUUUAUUAAUAAUUUCUAGUUAUUUUUAAUUGACCCGAAGCUUAGUGAUCUAAUUAUGAACUGGUUGAGUCCACAAUAAAAUGUGGAGGAGGACCUAAGUCGUAUAUGUGGCAAAAUAUUGAUGAGAUUUGUAAUUAGGGGUGAAAGACUAAUCAAACUAAGUUAUAGCUGGUUUUCUGCGAAAAUUAUUUUAGUAAUGCGUUAUAAAAUUUUAAUAUUUGGGGUAUAGCUCUAGUUAAAUUUAAGUGUUUCAUUACUUAUUAAAUUUAGUUAAACUAAGAAUAUAAAUAUUAAAUUAUAGCAGUUAGACUCUUAGCGCUAAGGUUGUGAGUCAAAAGGGAAAAAACCCAGAUCGUAAGCUAAAGCCCCUAAAUUGGAAAUUAGUAUAAAAAAUUAUUUUUUAAUUUAAAAAUUAUAAUAGGUAAGCUUAGAAGCAGCUAUCCAUUAGAGAUCGCGUUUUAGCGUGUUAUUUUUUUUUAAAAAAUAUUAAAAAUGUUGUAAGGUUUUAAUUUUCAUGCUGAAGCAACGAAUCUUACAUAUAAAAGUAAGAUGGUAGCAGAACAUUUUGUAUGCAAAAAAAACUAAAAUGGUAAAUUUUAGUUUUUUACACAAAAGAGAUAAUACUGAUAUGAGUAGCAAAAAUUUUGUAAAACAAACCAAAAUCAUCGUAAAUAAAAGGGUUUCUAUAGAAAAUUAAAUUAUAUAGAGUAAGUCGGUUUCUAAGAAAAUAUACGAAUGUAACAUUUGAUGAAGAAGUGUAUUUACCAUUCUAGUCUUUAUACUUCAUAGUAUAAAUGAAAUUAAUAAUAUAAGAAAUAAUAAUAAAGAUUUUAUCAUUAUAAUACUAUUUUCCAGGAAAAUUGCUAGAUGUAUUGACCGUACCAAAACCGAAACAGGUAUUUUAGUUGAAAAAACAAAGAUGAUUGAGAAAAUUAUGCUUAAGGAACUCGGCAAAUUAAUUCUGUACGUUCGCAAGAAAGAAUACCGUAAAGGUUAUAAUAAAGAAAGAAUAGCGACUGUUUAUCAAAAACAUAGAACUCUGCUAAUUUAAAAAAAGAUGUAUAGGGUUUGACGCCUGCCAGGUGCUUAUCUAAAAAAAUAAUUAGUAUUUUUGCUAAUUUAAUAAUUAUAAGUAAACGGCGGUCUUAACUAUAAGGAUCCUAAGGUAGCGAAAUUCCUCGACGGGUAAAUUCCGUCCUGCAUGAACGGCGUCACGACUAUUCUACUGUCUCAAGCAUAAACUCAGCGAAAUUAUGAUAUCUGUGCAAACACAGAUUGCCCGCAGUUAGACGGAAAGACCCUUUAAUCCUUUACCAUAUUUUUAUAUUGAUUUGCGUUUUAUUUAGUAUAGCAUAGGUGGUAGUGUGAUAACAAAAAUGAAAUACCACUCGAAUAAACCGGAAAUCUAAUUUUAAAAAAAUAAAGUGUAAAAAUUUUGGUUUAUCUGGGGCGGAUACCUCCAAAAGAGCAACGGAGGUGCACUAAGGUAUACUAUAAUUAUAUAUAUGUAAUGGUAAAAAGUAUGCUUAACGGUUAGACCAAUAAGUCGAGCCGAAACGAAAGUUGGUCAUAGUGAUCCGGUAUACGUAUGUGGAAACGUUAUCGCUCAACAAAUAAAAGGAACUUAAGGGAUAACAGAUUAAUCGUGUUUAAGAGUCCAAAUCGACGACACGGCUUGAUACCUCGAUGUCGGCUCAUCUUAACCUAGAGUUGUAGAAAAUUCUAAGGGUUUGGCUGUUCGCCAAAUAAAAAGGUACGUGAGCUGGGUUCAGAACGUUGUGAAACAGUUCGGUCCCUAUCUACUGUGGGGUAGUGAAAAAGAAAAAAUAAUACUUUUAGUACGAGAGGACCAAAGUAAUUUAACCUCUAAUGAAUCAAUUGUUACGCUUGUAGCAUAGUUGAGCAUUUACGUU
rnacentral:rRNA from 1 species